rnacentral:rRNA from 1 species
GAUGAACGCUGGCGGCGUGCCUAAUACAUGCGAGUCGAGCGAACAGACGAGGAGCUUGCUCCUCUGACGUUAGCGGCGGACGGGUGAGUAACACGUGGAUAACCUACCUAUAAGACUGGGAUAACUUCGGGAAACCGGAGCUAAUACCGGAUAAUAUAUUGAACCGCAUGGUUCAAUAGUGAAAGACGGUUUUGCUGUCACUUAUAGAUGGAUCCGCGCCGCAUUAGCUAGUUGGUAAGGUAACGGCUUACCAAGGCAACGAUGCGUAGCCGACCUGAGAGGGUGAUCGGCCACACUGGAACUGAGACACGGUCCAGACUCCUACGGGAGGCAGCAGUAGGGAAUCUUCCGCAAUGGGCGAAAGCCUGACGGAGCAACGCCGCGUGAGUGAUGAAGGUCGUCGGAUCGUAAAACUCUGUUAUUAGGGAAGAACAAAUGUGUAAGUAACUAUGCACGUCUUGACGGUACCUAAUCAGAAAGCCACGGCUAACUACGUG